CUGGCUCUGAGUCAAGGCCAGCAGCUUCUUGACGCUGUUGGUUUCAAGCAGGAGCCUAAAGAGAUGUCUUUCUACAGUGAUACAUCCAUGCCCAUUUCAGAACUUGGGCAGUUAAAUCUUGGAAGCAGCCUGU
ensembl:snoRNA small nucleolar RNA SNORA2/SNORA34 family